rnacentral:rRNA from 1 species
GACGAACGCUGGCGGCGUGCUUAACACAUGCAAGUCGAACGGAAAGGCCCUGCUUGCAGGGUCCUCGAGUGGCGAACGGGUGAGUAACACGUGGGUGCUCUGCCCUUCACUUCGGGAUAAGCCUGGGAAACUGGGUCUAAUACCGGAUAGGAGCCCUUUUUAGUGUGAUGGUUGGAAAGUUUUUUCGGUGUAGGAUGAGCUCGCGGCCUAUCAGCUUGUUGGUGGGGUAAUGGCCUACCAAGGCGGCGACGGGUAGCCGGCCUGAGAGGGUGGACGGCCACAUUGGGACUGAGAGGCGGCCCAGACGCCGACGUGAGGCAGCAGUGGGGAAUAUUGCACAAUGGGCGCAAGCCGGAUGCAGCGAGGCCGCGUGGGGGAUGACGGCCUUCGGGUUGAAAACUCCUUUCGCUAGGGACGAAGCUGUUUGUGACGGUACCUAGAUAAGAAGCACCGGCUAACUACGUG